GGAUUUACUUCUCAGGCGGAUCAGGAAAUGAUCUCUCGCAUAGAAAAGCAGCUGAAGAGACGCUUCGCCAUCGGCUCCCAGGUGUCUGAACACAGCAUCAUACAGGACUUCACCAAACAGAAAUAUCCAGAACACGCCAUUCACAAAGUCCUUCAUUUGAUGAUGAGGAGGGGCGAGCUGCAGCACCGCAUGCAGAGGAAGGUUUUGUACAGGGUCAAGUAGACGCCUGCUUGCCUCGCGUUGUUCUGCUUGACACAAGUCGGGUUUAUUGUACAUGGUUGUUUGGACACUUUAUGGCUGGAGAUAUGAUUUGAGUAUGUUAGCAUUGUGACGGUAUGCUUCACUGUCUUCAUGUGGUUUUUCAGUGGAAGUAAUCUGAUUGUCAUGGUCGUGUUUUGUAUGGAAGCAUAAUAAAGCAUGUAAGAAAUUAA